GAUGAGCUGGCGGAGUGGUGAAGGCGAUAGACUGCUAAUCUAUUGUGCUCUGCAUGCAUGGGUUCAAAUCCCAUCCUCAUUG
rfam:Takifugu rubripes chromosome, Chr_9